UGUUGUGAAUGAUGAGGAUAUAAUUUUUACAGUUAUCCCUGUCUGAUGCAUUGUGCUGACAGUUUGUAAUCUGACGCACAC